GUGCUUAGCAACCAGGAAAAGUGACAUCAUAACUGUCACGGUCAUGUGAGUUUACUGCUUAGCGACUGUGAUGCUUUAACAAACUGAUUUCCAGGCUCAAAAAAUGGAUUUUAUAUCCUUUUGAGAAGCUAGAUUUCCUCAGAGACAAAAAGAACUCAUUCCGUGCUCGUAGGACCUUGUUUGUAAAGGCCCCAAACCUGCAGGCUCCAGUUGUAUUACUAGUUCAAUUUUUAUUCGGAAGCUAUAAAAAGUUGGAAGCCCUAGGCAGGUUACAACCAAGCUAAGCAAAUUGUUACUCAAAGAAUAAGACAUAAGGACUUCCAGAUUGGAAUUUACAGGCUCCCCUAACAGUCUUCGUAGAUAAUUACAGGACCAUCCAACCUUGUGAUAAAAAAAAUUGUCAGCCUCAUUAUGCCUCGUGGAAAGAAAGGACGAACGUCAUGGACAAGAGAUGACCACAAGCGCCGUCGGGAUACGGCAAGGAGGAGGAGAGAACAAGAAACAGAGAAGGAAAGGGCUGCACGUCUCCAGAAAGACAGAGAAAGGCACAGAAUAAGGAGGCAAGCAGAGAGAGAGAAGGAAAAGGAAGAUCAACUUGAGAAUAUGUGGCAUAGAACAAUUAGUGCUAGAGUUGCUGAACACCGCAACGCCCACCUUCAACAACAAGACCUCAACAGAGAAAGAACAACACAGCAAAAUGCACGACUGACACGACUUAAUAUUUCUGCUAAGGGAGGAGCAACUAUGGUGGAAGAGAAGCUUGUGGUUCCCAAAGAAGAAGAGGGAAGUGAGAAUUGUUGGCAAGAACCUCUCAUUGUCCAAGUCUGGACUAUCAGGGACUAUUUGACCAAUCCAUCUCAUGUUAAGCUGGAGUCGGAGGAAGAAAUGCACCAAUAUUCGAACUCUCAAUGGCAGGAAUUCCUGAAAAAUGUGGCAGCAGCUCGUCCAUUGGAGGAAGAUGCCAAGGACUUCCAGUUCCCCUUGGGGAGAGUCAAAGAGGAACCUCAGAAGGACAGCUCUGAGGAGGCCAGAAGGAAGGCUGUGCUCCAAUGUGAUCCAAACAUCAGUGGGAAAGCCUGGACGGGCAGGGAAAAGCUGGAUUACUGUGUGAAGGUGAAGAUGGAAGAGCCUCUGGAGAUGGUUGAUCUCGAGAGCCAAUGACUCUAGUACCUUGGGCAGUUCGGCCUUAAGGAUGCUGAGGAGCAUCAGGAGGGAGGAUCAACUUUGUUACACUUUUCUGGGAGGAGGCUCUGUGGUAUCUGAAGCAGAAUAUCCAGAUUCAGUCACAGUUUUGUUCCAUACACCAGCUUCCUCUUUCUGCUAUGCAUUCAAGAUGGACAGUGAUUAAUAUUUAUACAUAUAUGUUAGGAUAUAGGUGCAUACAUACAUAUGUAUAGAGUAUGUCUAUAUGUACGUUGUAUACACUUUUGACAGCAGGCAACAGAAUUUCAUUUUUAAUGUGGGCCAGUGUGCCCACAGGAAAAAAAAUGACAAUAAAGGUCAGCUUAUAUCUUAUCUAGGACCAGGGGAGACAUGAUAGCAGUGUUCUAGUAUUUGAGGGGCUGCCACAGAGAGGAAGGGGUCAAGCUAUUUUCCAAGGCACUUGAAGGCCAGACUAGGAAUAAUGGACGGAAACUGAUCAAGGAGAGAUUCAACUUAGAAAUAAGGAGAAAUUUUAUGACAGUGAGAACAAUCAACCAAUGGAACAGCUUGCCUUUGGAAGUUGUGGGAGCUUCAUCACUGGAGGCUUUCAAAAAGAGAUUGGACUGCCAUUUAUCAGAAAUGGAGUAGGGUCUCCUGCUUGGGCAGGGGGUUAGACUAGAUGACCUACAAGGUCCCUUCCAACUCUGCUAAUCUGUUAACCUCUUCUCUUCUCUUCUCUUCUCUUCUCUUCUCUUCUCUUCUCUUCUCUUCUCUUCUCUUCUUUUCUCUUCUUCUCUUUUGUCUUGUCUUGUCUUGUCUUGUCAUCUCUUAUCUUUUAUCUUCUCUUAUUUUUGGAGGAAGAGAAAUUUCUGGUAAUCAAAAAAAAAAAAAAAGAAGAAGGAACUGAGAAUGAGGAA